ensembl:ncRNA K10C3.10 ncRNA
UUGCAAUUGCCUCUUCUUCUCUGUCGUCUCUACAUCUCUGCACUUCUCUCAUCUCCCAUCAGCCUCCCAGACCGCCCCUCUAUCCAACACCAGCGAGUUUUCGGUGCCUGUGUGCUUCUAAUUUUCCUUGUGUUGCACUUUGAUUUUCUU